GGCGUAAAGCGUGCGUAGGCGGCUUAUUAAGUCGGAUGUGAAAUCCCCGAGCUUAACUUGGGAAUUGCAUUCGAUACUGGUGAGCUAGAGUAUGGGAGAGGAUGGUAGAAUUCCAGGUGUAGCGGUGAAAUGCGUAGAGAUCUGGAGGAAUACCGAUGGCGAAGGCAGCCAUCUGGCCUAAUACUGACGCUGAGGUACGAAAGCAUGGGGAGCAAACAG
rnacentral:rRNA from 1 species